rnacentral:rRNA from 1 species
AAUAUUGCACAAUGGGGGAAACCCUGAUGCAGCGACGCCGCGUGAGUGAAGAAGUAAUUCGUUAUGUAAAGCUCUAUCAGCAGGGAAGAAAAUGACGGUACCUGACCAAGAAGCCCCGGCUAACUACGUGCCAGCAGCCGCGGUAAUACGUAGGGGGCAAGCGUUAUCCGGAUUUACUGGGUGUAAAGGGAGCGUAGACGGCGGUGCAAGUCUGGAGUGAAAGGCGGGGGCCCAACCCCCGGACUGCUCUGGAAACUGUAUGGCUGGAGUGCAGGAGAGGUAAGUGGAAUUCCUAGUGUAGCGGUGAAAUGCGUAGAUAUUAGGAGGAACACCAGUGGCGAAGGCGGCCCACUGGACUGCGACUGACGUUGAGGCUCGAAGGCGUGGGGAGCAAA